UAGGGAAUCUUCCGCAAUGGGCGAAAGCCUGGCGGAGCAACGCCGCGUGAGUGAUGAAGGUCUUCGGAUCGUAAAACUCUGUUAUUAGGGAAGAACAAAUGUGUAAGUAACUAUGCACGUCUUGACGGUACCUAAUCAGAAAGCCACGGCUAACUACGUGCCAGCAGCCGCGGUAAUACGUAGGUGGCAAGCGUUAUCCGGAAUUAUUAGGCGUAAAGCGCGCGUAGGCGGUUUUUUAAGUCUGAUGUGAAAGCCCACGGCUCAACCGUGGAGGGUCAUUGGAAACUGGAAAACUUGAGUGCAGAAGAGGAAAGUGGAAUUCCAUGUGUAGCGGUGAAAUGCGCAGAGAUAUGGAGGAACACCAGUGGCGAAGGCGACUUUCUGGUCUGUAACUGACGCUGAUGUGCGAAAGCGUGGGGAUCAAACAGG
rnacentral:rRNA from 1 species